rnacentral:rRNA from 1 species
GACGAACGCUGGCGGCGUGCUUAACACAUGCAAGUCGAACGGUAAGGCCCUUCGGGGUACACGAGUGGCGAACGGGUGAGUAACACGUGGGUGAUCUGCCCUGCACUUCGGGAUAAGCCUGGGAAACUGGGUCUAAUACCGGAUAGGACCACUGCCUGCAUGGGUGGUGGUGGAAAGCUUUUGCGGUGUGGGAUGGGCCCGCGGCCUAUCAGCUUGUUGGUGGGGUGAUGGCCUACCAAGUCGACGACGGGUAGCCGGCCUGAGAGGGUGACCGGCCACACUGAGACUGAGAUACGGCCCAGACUCCGACGGGAGGCAGCAGUGGGGAAUAUUGCACAAUGGGCGCAAGCCUUAUGCAGCGACGCCGCGUGAGGGAUGACGGCCUUCGGGUUGUAAACCUCUUUCAGCACCGACGAAGCGCAAGUGACGGUAGGUGCAGAAGAAGGACCGGCCAACUACGUGCCAGCCGCCGCCGUAA